GCAAGUCGAACGAGGUCUUUCGGGACCUAGUGGCGCACGGGUGAGUAAUGCAUGGGUAACUUGCCUCGCAAUGGGGGAUAACCACGGGAAACCGUGGCUAAUACCGCAUACGUAGUACUGGGUAAUGCUGGUACUAGAAAGGUGGGGAUCUUCGGACCUGCCGUUGUGAGAGAGGCCCAUGUCCCAUUAGCUUGUUGGUAGGGUAAUGGCCUACCAAGGCGAAGAUGGGUAGCUGGUCUGAGAGGACGAUC
rnacentral:rRNA from 1 species